AUAUGAUAGUGAUGUGGCAUUAAAUUUGUCUAUUGUUUUUACUUUAUAUAGCUGUCUCUGCUCGUUAUUGGAAUAACGACCCUUGCUGGCCGAACCCAUGUCCAUAUUGGAAAACAUGUAUUCCAAACAACUGGGGUUGGAGACGUUAUAGAUGCGUUAGUUAUGGACAGUACUACUGAUAACGGUGACUAGCAAGCAGGGAUAUCCACAUAUCAAUGUAUUUAUCAAUAAAAAAAAUAUAAAACUUUGAA